rnacentral:rRNA from 1 species
UACGAAGGGGGCUAGCGUUGUUCGGAUUUACUGGGCGUAAAGCGCACGUAGGCGGAUCGUUAAGUCGGGGGUGAAAUCCUGGAGCUCAACUCCAGAACUGCCUUCGAUACUGGCGAUCUUGAGUCCGGAAGAGGUGAGUGGAACUCCUAGUGUAGAGGUGGAAUUCGUAGAUAUUAGGAAGACACCAGUGGCGAAGGCGGCUCACUGGUCCGGUACUGACGCUGAGGUGCGAAAGCGUGGGAGCAAACAGG